ACGCACAUACACGUACAUGUAAAAUAAGCACAAUAAAAUCUAUGUAAAUAUGGGUAUGUAUCAGCCCAUCACAGUUAGAUCUUGUUCACAGAGAAAAUGUCAAAAGUUUUCCUCUUCGUUUUACUGCUAUCAGGGGCAGUCCUGAACGCUACAGCACAAUCUCAGCGUUGUCCAAUCUGUCUUCCAGUAGUGAAGAUGAUAUGUGCCUCUAACAAGAUCACGUACUGGAACGAGUGCAUAAUGCGAUGGAAAAUUUGCCGAGGCAAAAUACCGAAAGAUGUUAAAAAAAUCCACGACGGUCCUUGUCCCAAAUAGUGAAACUACGUGGAGCAACACAGCCAAUAUGAAUGGGUACUAUUGAUGUAGUAUAUACCAAAUAAAUAAAAUGAUUAACUAUA